rnacentral:rRNA from 1 species
UACAGAGGUCCCGAGCGUUGUUCGGAUUCACUGGGCGUAAAGGGUGCGCAGGUGGUUUGGCAAGUUUGAUGUGAAAGCCCCGGGCUUAACCCGGGAAUGGCAUUGAAUACUGCUUGAACUGGAGGGUCGGAGGGGGGACUGGAAUUCUUGGUGUAGCAGUGAAAUGCGUAGAUAUCAAGAGGAACACCGAUGGCGAAGGCAGCCCCCUGGGCUAACACUGACGCUCAGGCACGAAAGCGUGGGGAGCAAACAGG